UGGCGGACGGGUGAGUAACACGUGAGCAACCUACCUUUAAGAGAGGGAUAGCUUCUGGAAACGGAUGGUAAUACCUCAUAAUAUAUAUACAGGGCAUCCUGAAUAUAUCAAACGAAUUUUGCUUAAAGAUGGGCUCGCGCCUGAUUAGAUAGUUGGUGAGGUAAUGGCUCACCAAGUCUACGAUCAGUAGCCGGACUGAGAGGUUGAACGGCCACAUUGGGACUGAGACACGGCCCAGACUCCUACGGGAGGCAGCAGUGGGGAAUAUUGCACAAUGGGGGAAACCCUGAUGCAGCGAUGCCGCGUGGAGGAAGAAGGUUUUCGGAUUGUAAACUCCUUUUGUCAGGGACGAUAAUGACGGUACCUGAAGAAAAAGCUCCGGCUAACUACGUGCCAGCAGCCGCGGUAAUACGUAGGGAGCGAGCGUUGUCCGGAAUUACUGGGUGUA
rnacentral:rRNA from 1 species